AGAGUUUGAUCAUGGCUCAGAACGAACGCUGGCGGCAUGCCUAACACAUGCAAGUCGAACGAGACCUUCGGGUCUAGUGGCGCACGGGUGCGUAACGCGUGGGAAUCUGCCCUAGGGUGCGGAAUAACUCGGAGAAAUCCGUGCUAAUACCGCAUAAUGUCUUCGGACCAAAGAUUUAUCGCCCUGGGAUGAGCCCGCGUAGGAUUAGCUAGUUGGUGGGGUAAAGGCCUACCAAGGCGACGAUCCUUAGCUGGUCUGAGAGGAUGAUCAGCCACACUGGGACUGAGACACGGCCCAGACUCCUACGGGAGGCAGCAGUGGGGAAUAUUGGACAAUGGGCGAAAGCCUGAUCCAGCAAUGCCGCGUGAGUGAUGAAGGCCCUAGGGUUGUAAAGCUCUUUUACCCGGGAUGAUAAUGACAGUACCGGGAGAAUAAGCUCCGGCUAACUCCGUG
rnacentral:rRNA from 1 species